CCUCUCUCAGUUCGGAUCGAAGUCUGCAACCCGACUUCGUGAAGCUGGAUUCGCUAGUAAUCGCGCAUCAGCCACGGCGCGGUGAAUACGUUCCCGGGCCUUGUACACACCGCCCGUCAAGCCAUGGGAGCCGGGGGUACCUGAAGUACGUAACCGCAAGGAUCGUCCUAGGGUAAAACUGGUGACUGGGGCUAAGUCGUAACAAGGUAGCCGUACCGGAAGGUGCGGCUGGAACACC
rnacentral:rRNA from 3 species